GAUGAACGCUGGCGGCGUGCUUAACACAUGCAAGUCGAACGAAGCACUUUAUUUGAUUUCCUUCGGGACUGAUUAUUUUGUGACUGAGCGGCGGACGGGUGAGUAACGCGUGGGUAACCUGCCUUGUACAGGGGGAUAACAGUUGGAAACGGCUGCUAAUACCGCAUAAGCGCACGGCAUCGCAUGAUGCAGUGUGAAAAACUCCGGUGGUAUAAGAUGGACCCGCGUUGGAUUAGCUAGUUGGUGAGGUAACGGCCCACCAAGGCGACGAUCCAUAGCCGACCUGAGAGGGUGACCGGCCACAUUGGGACUGAGACACGGCCCAAACUCCUACGGGAGGCAGCAGUGGGGAAUAUUGCACAAUGGGCGAAAGCCUGAUGCAGCGACGCCGCGUGAGCGAAGAAGUAUUUCGGUAUGUAAAGCUCUAUCAGCAGGGAAGAUAAUGACGGUACCUGACUAAGAAGCACCGGCUAAAUACGUG
rnacentral:rRNA from 1 species